UACGAAGGGGGCUAGCGUUGCUCGGAAUCACUGGGCGUAAAGGGCGCGUAGGCGGCCAUUCAAGUCGGGGGUGAAAGCCUGUGGCUCAACCACAGAAUUGCCUUCGAUACUGUUUGGCUUGAGACCGGAAGAGGUGAGUGGAACUCCGAGUGUAGAGGUGAAAUUCGUAGAUAUUCGGAAGAACACCAGUGGCGAAGGCGGCUCACUGGUCCGGUACUGACGCUGAGGUGCGAAAGCGUGGGGAGCAAACAGG
rnacentral:rRNA from 1 species